ACACAUUAUAAUAAAGCUAGGACAUAAUUUUGUACUUAAUAUAUUGAUUUGAUCAACAAAAGGAUAAGUUUAUUUUUUAUUAAAGUAUGAUGUGUCCUUGAAUCAUCCAUGAAAUUAACUUUUUGAUACAUAUUCUCAAAGUGUUGAGAAUUAAAGACAUGUAUUUAAUUCCUAAAUGCUCCCGAUCAUAGUAUCAUCAUGAGGACGAUGAUCGGUUCAGAU
rnacentral:lncRNA from 1 species